GGGCGUAAAGAGCUCGUAGGCGGUUUGUCGCGUCUGCUGUGAAAACCCGAGGCUCAACCUCGGGCCUGCAGUGGGUACGGGCAGACUAGAGUGCGGUAGGGGAGAUUGGAAUUCCUGGUGUAGCGGUGGAAUGCGCAGAUAUCAGGAGGAACACCAAUGGCGAAGGCAGAUCUCUGGGCCGUAACUGACGCUGAGGAGCGAAAGCGUGGGGAGCGAACAGGAUUAGAUACCCUGGUAGUCCACGCCGUAAACGUUGGGAACUAGAUGUAGGGACCAUUCCACGGUUUCUGUGUCGCAGCUAACGCAUUAAGUUCCCCGCCUGGGGAGUACGGUCGCAAGACUAAAACUCAAAGGAAUUGACGGGGGCCCGCACAAGCGGCGGAGCAUGCGGAUUAAUUCGAUGCAACGCGAAGAACCUUACCAAGGCUUGACAUAUAGAGGAAACGUCUGGAAACAGUCGCCCCGCAAGGUCUCUAUACAGGUGGUGCAUGGUUGUCGUCAGCUCGUGUCGUGAGAUGUUGGGUUAAGUCCCGCAACGAGCGCAACCCUCGUCCUAUGUUGCCAGCACGUAAUGGUGGGAACUCAUGGGAGACUGCCGGGGUCAACUCGGAGGAAGGUAAU
rnacentral:rRNA from 1 species